rnacentral:rRNA from 1 species
GAUGAACGCUGGCGGCGUGCCUAAUACAUGCAAGUCGAGCGAACAGACGAGGAGCUUACUCCUCUGACGUUAGCGGCGGACGGGUGAGUAACACGUGGAUAACCUACCUAUAAGACUGGGAUAACUUCGGGAAACCGGAGCUAAUACCGGAUAACAUGUUGAACCGCAUGGUUCAACAGUGAAAGACGGUCUUGCUGUCACUUAUAGAUGGAUCCGCGUCGCAUUAGCUAGUUGGUAAGGUAACGGCUUACCAAGGCAACGAUGCGUAGCCGACCUGAGAGGGGGAUCGGCCACACGGGAACUGAGACACGGGCCAGACUCCUACGGGAGGCAGCAGUAGGGAAUCUUCCGCAAUGGGCGAAAGCCUGACGGAGCAACGCCGCGUGAGUGAAGAAGGUCUUCGGAUCGUAAAACUCUGUUAUUAGGGAAGAACAAAUGUGUAAGUAACUAUGCACGUCUGGACGGUACCUAAUCAGAAAGCCACGGCUAACUACGU